rnacentral:rRNA from 1 species
CAGUAGCCGCGGUAAUACGGAGGGUGCAAGCGUUAAUCGGAAUUACUGGGCGUAAAGCGUGCGUAGGCGGUUCGUUAAGUCUGUUGUGAAAGCCCCGGGCUUAACCUGGGAACUGCAUUUGUGACUGGCGGGCUAGAGUAUGGCAGAGGGGGGUAGAAUUCCACGUGUAGCAGUGAAAUGCGUAGAGAUGUGGAGGAAUACCGAUGGCGAAGGCAGCCCCCUGGGCCAAUACUGACGCUCAUGCACGAAUGCGUGGGGAGCAAACAGGAUUAGAUACCCCUGUAGUCCCUGUCUCUUAUAC